CUGUGGAGGAAGAGUUGUUUCUGUGGGAUAUGUAUCCAAUACCCCAUUCUGCUCAUCUUCCUUGAUAGGGUAAAGGAAGAUUAAAAAAUAUAUCCUACAGCUGGUAGUCUGUCUUCAGGGAAGACUGAUGAAAUCUAGGUCAUCUGACAGAGUCCAGCUGAGGUCAGUAAAUCAUUAUUACUUAAUAGCUAUCUAUUAGCCUAUAGGAAGUAAGUUGGUUGCCUUCAGGCUCCCACUGGGCAAAUGUUUACCCUACAAAACUGCUGGCCUAAUUGGUGCUAAUUGUCAGUGUCAGCAGAAGCAGCAUCUUUCUUUGUAUGUGUCAGGACUGGAGCAUAUGGACAAAGAAGGAUCAAAUGCUCUGCACAUGACAGCAGAUAGCAAGUGAAGAAACCUCAACUCUCAGUCCACUGGCUGUCAGCUUUGCAAUAGGUUGAAAACAUGGAAAUGUUUCCAUAUCCAAAAAUGGUUGCUGUUGGAAAAUUCUCCUUGUGAUGUUUUGAAUGCAGUCAAAGCAGAGCAGGAAUGAACUUGCCACCCGUGUGAAAUUCUGUGAUUUUGCCCUCUUUUCCAGUUUGAAACAGAACAGGAGCCAUGAGCACCUUCCAUCUGAUUCUCCAGGAGGAACCCAGGAACUCACUGAGAAAACAGUGAAAUGCCCUCAUUACAUUUGGGCACCAAAGGUCUUUGCUGUAGGAAUGGCUGCCCCUGUGAGAGUGUGGGCUGAACACUGAAGUGGCUUCAGGCAGCCAAGGCCAGUGUAGAGACUUCCUGGGGAGGCAGAGGGGGUGAUGCAAAAUGGCUUCAAGCUCGAUGUCUCUGAGCCAGGCAGGGCCAAAAUACUAAAAACCAAGCUAUCCAAGAGCUGCUAUGUCUCAGCUGUGCUGUCAUAAUGGAUGUCACAAGAAGGGAUUGGUUUUAGGGAGUCACUGUGUGUUUGCAAAUUGUGUGUUCACAAGCCUGGAGCACAGGUGGUGGCCUGGGAACCUUGUAGGCACAUUCUACUAGGCACACCUGGCACCCUGAAGGCACUCAGAUCUUGACCAGCAGGCAGCAGGAAACAUGAGGACAACUGUAGAUGCUGCAACUCCCCAGCUCAGACCAACACUUGGAUGGUCUUUUUCUGUUUUGGUGUAGAAAGUGGGAGGACUGAAGUUGGCCUCCUUGACUCGAUGCUGGACAUGGGUGGAGUAAAGUUGUUCAAGGCUAGGUUAGAACUGAACACUUCAUAGCAAGAGCUGUGGCCUGGAAAUAGGCCUAACACUGUACACCCUAUAAAAAUGUGUGCGUGUGUGUGUGUAUGUAUAUGUAAGCUUAAUACAAAUACCUGGUACUAGGAAUUAAUUUCCAAAGAAUCAUAAAAAGGUUUCUUUUUAUCUCAUUUGGAGACUUGCUGGUGUGCCACUCUACUAUUUCAAUGUCUGCAGCACUAGUGUAUGCUUUCUUCUUUUUAUAUGAGCACCAAGCAGUUCAAAGAUCGUUUUAAAGCUGCUUCAUUCAGUUAGAGAAGGGAAAGCCCUAAAUCACCUCAGUUGUGUUUUUCCACGUUGAAGAGCAAUAACUAAGAACAACAGGAGCUAAUCCAUUCCAUGUUUUCAUGUCCCUCUAGCGACAUGUUAUAGGAAUGACUUCAAUUGAUGUUUUGUCCUACAGAAAAAGCAGGGUUUCAGAAGGCACAAAACCAUGCAAACACCUAACUCUUAAAAACAAUUUCUGCCAGACUUAAUUAUUUUUUUCUAAGGAAUUCCCAGAAAUUGCCACAAAUUUAUUAGAAGCAGAAAAUCUCUUAUGUGGUUGAACAAGGGAAGAAGUCUCCCAAGAUAAAUGCUUUUAAUUCACAUGUUUAAAACCAAGCAGCUAAAGGGAAGUUCCUCUAGCAUCCCUCUUCAGUACCCACUGCCUUCAGAGCACAGGUAGGCAAAAAUGUACAGCUCAUCAGAACUUCUCUUUUGCCUCCAGCCAAUAAAACACAGACACACAUCUAUAUCUGUAUCGAU
ensembl:lncRNA